ensembl:lncRNA
CGCGAUACCUGGCUGCCCCGGAUUUCUACCAUCACCCUCCCACCACCUGCAGAGCAGUGGCCGUGAUGGAAGGCGCAUUGGGAGGGCUGUGAGGAGGCCGCUGCUCCUGACUAGCUAGCCCUCAGAGGGGCUUUGGAGGGAAAGUUCCCGGCAGCUGACGAAACCGUUUGUUUCGGGGAUUCUCCCUGUUUCUCCCCAGCUUGGCACUGACUGCCAGCUGAUGUGUACUCCUCUAUGGAAUGGAAACGUGCAUCUGGAUGAGCUGAGGAGCUCCAAGACUGAGAGACCUUCCAGACCCAGGGAUUGAACCUGGGUCUUCGGCAUUUCAGGCAGAUUCUCUACAGUGUGAGCCACCAGGGAAGCCCCUAUUAAGUCUACAGGUGAAUUCCCACAUAACCAGCGCUUUGAUUCUGUGGUUGUUCCUCACACUUUGCGUGAGCUGGCCUUUCUUCACCAGUCCCACAGCCAUUAGUCAAGUCCAAGGUUGCUUCCAUUUCACCUUGUAAAUCAUCAUGUGUAUAACCUCUAAAGGCAAACUGAUUAUAAUUUAUUAAUAAUC